rnacentral:rRNA from 1 species
CCUACGAGGGACAGCAGUGAGGAAUAUUGGUCCAUGGUCGGGAGACUGAACCAGCCAAGCCGCGUGAGGGAUGAAGGUCCAGAGUAUCGUAAACCUCUUUUGUCAGGGAACAAAGGCGGGGACGCGUCCCCGGAUGAGUGUACCUGAUGAAAAAGCAUCGGCUAACUCCGUUCCAGCAGCCGCGGUCAUACGGGGGCUGCGAGCGUUAUCCGGAUUUAUUGGGUUUAAAGGGUGCGCAUGGGGUCUUUUACGUCGGUGGUCAAAGCCUGGGGCGAACCCCCGGCGCGCCGUUGAAUCUGGCAGUCUCGAGUUGGAGAGAGGUAUGCGGAAUGCGCGGUGUAGCGGUGAAAUGCAUAGAUAUCGCGCAGAACUCCGAUUGCGAAGGCAGCAUGCCGGCUCCACACUGACGCUGAGGCACGAAAGCGUGGGUAUCGAACAGGAUUAGAUACACCUGUAGUC